UCAAACUGGAGAUGGCGACCGGCGCACGGGUGAGUAACACGUAUCCAACCUGCCGAUAACUCGGGGAUAGCCUUUCGAAAGAAAGAUUAAUACCCGAUGGCAUAAUAGAACCGCAUGGUUUGAUUAUUAAAGAAUUUCGGUUAUCGAUGGGGAUGCGUUCCAUUAGGCAGUUGGUGGGGUAACGGCCCACCAAACCUUCGAUGGAUAGGGGUUCUGAGAGGAAGGUCCCCCCACAUUGGAACUGAGACACGGUCCAAACUCCUACGGGAGGCAGCAUG
rnacentral:rRNA from 1 species